rnacentral:lncRNA from 1 species
AUGCAACCCACAGACGUGACAUCCGACUUCUCCUGGGUGUGUCACGAUCAGAGCCCCUUACCUUGGGGAGUCACUGCGUGCCUGAGCUCCAGGUCCCCCCACAGUUGCGCAAACCCAGCUAGGCUGUCUCUGAUGUCCUCCCCUUUGCAGGGCAAGUGCCGUGGAGCCUGCAUUCAAUGCAUUCCCACACAGCUGCACACCUACUCUGUACUGGGCCCCAGGGCACAAGGCGCUGGGGCAUGCGGCCUGCCCAGGGUUCCCUGUCUCUGGAGGAGGACAGAUGACCUGGCACAGCACCGGGGAUGCCUGGCCUUAAGGGGCAGGCUGCUGGAAGGGGAACUGGGAUUUCAUCAGCCAGAGAGUUGUGUGGUUGAUGAUGGUGGGAGGGGCACAAGACAAAGGGAAUGUGCCACUCAGCCUGGCACAUACAGGGACCAAGAUGCCUGGCAUGUCUGGAAGGCAGAGGGCACACUGGGCAGCCCUUGUGAUCAGCAGCAGGAAGAGACAGAGGAAGCAGAGCUCAGCCAGGCAGGGAGCUCUGCGCUACGUGAGAGACCUCGGACUGUGCGCCACGGCCAGAGAGGGAAGCCAGCUGGGCAGAUCUGCCUGCCUGGACAGGAGACUGGGAAAAUCCAGCAGCUGUUUCAGCUCCUGCCCUGCAGACAUGGAGGCUCGACUCUGGCAAUGUGCGGGUCCUGGCAGGGCGGGCGCUCAGGGGACUUACCCAGAGUGAUGCUGAGUGCUAGGGCCAUGUGGGCAAAUUCCAAGCCCUCCUGGGACUCCUCCAGUGUGGCCAGCAUUGCCACCAGCUUGUUGCACAGCUGCAGCUGCGGCUCCGCCUUGCGGUUGCCCGUAGUCACUGCCAGGGGCAGGGCCCGGUCCUACCACACAGGCAGGUGGGGUCAGGCUUCCCGCAGCAGCCACCUUGCCCAGCGCCCUCCUCAGAGCUCAAACGUGCUUGGAGCUUCCCACGCCCCAGUGACCCCUGCACCUCCACAGAGCUCUGUGCUCUGGGAUAACGCACGGUUCAGACACCCAAGUUGGGGGCUGAAGAGUCAUCUGAGGCCCAUCCAGCUACACCUGGCAGCCUCAGACCAGCCUCUCCCACCAGGGCACCGGGGGUCUGACUGCGGGGAGCCAGCACUCCUCUCUGCUCUAAAAACACCACAUUUGUCUGUGCCCAGAGCUGAGCCACACUGUGAGCUCAAAGGAAGGGAGAAGCCGUCCCCGUUUUGGGGUGCAUGCAGAUCUGGGCCCUGGCCCUGGGUCUCCCACUGA